AGCCAUGCUGUGGACAUGAAUUUAUGAGAUCCUUAUAUCGCUCUCAACAUUGGAAGAAGGUCUCAUCCUCUUUCUGCGUAAAACUCAUUAUUUCUUUCCUUAAGCU